rnacentral:rRNA from 1 species
GACGAACGCUGGCGGCGUGCCUAAUACAUGCAAGUAGAACGCUGAAGGAGGAGCUUGCUUCUCUGGAUGCGUUGCGAACGGGUGAGUAACGCGUAGGUAACCUGCCUGGUAGUGGGGGAUAACUAUUGGAAACGAUAGCUAAUACCGCAUAAUAGCAGUUGUUGCAUGAUAACUGUUUGAAAGGUGCAAUUGCACCGCUACCAGAUGGACCUGCGUUGUAUUAGCUAGUUGGUGGGGUAACGGCUCACCAAGGCGACGAUACAUAGCCGACCUGAGAGGGUGAUCGGCCACACUUGGACUGAGACACGGCCCAGACUCCUACGGGAGGCAGCAGUAGGGAAUCUUCGGCAAUGGACGGAAGUCUGACCGAGCAACGCCGCGUGAGUGAAGAAGGUUUUCGGAUCGUAAAGCUCUGUUGUAAGAGAAGAACGAGUGUGAGAGUGGAAAGUUCACACUGUGACGGUAUCUUACCAGAAAGGGACGGCUAACUACGUG